GUGCUCACUUCAGCAGUGCAUAUACUAAAACUGGAACAAUACAAAGAACAUUAGCAUGGUCCCUGUGCAAAGAUAACACAAAAAUUACUUAGUAGAUGUCUUCUUAU
ensembl:snRNA U6 U6 spliceosomal RNA